UACUUAGGCUUGACAUCCCUGGCAAAGCUAUAGAGAUAUAGUGGAGGCUAUCCAGGUGACAGGUGGUGCAUGGUUGUCGUCAGCUCGUGUCGUGAGAUGUUCGGUUAAGUCCGAUAACGAGCGCAACCCUUAUCCUUUGUUGCUAACAUUAAGUUGAGAACUCUAAGGAUACUGCCGGUGACAAACCGGAGGAAGGUGGGGAUGACGUCAAAUCAUCAUGCCCCUUACGUCUAGGGCUACAGGCGUGCUACAAUGGCCGACACAAAGAGAAGCAAUACCGCGAGGUGGAGCAAAUCUCCAAAAUCGGUCUCAGUUCGGAUUGGAGUCUGCAACUCGACUCCAUGAAGCUGGAAUCGCUAGUAAUCCUGAAUCAGAAUGUCAGGGUGAAUACGUUCCCGGGUGUUGUACACACCGCCCGUCACGCUAUGGGAGUCUGUAAUACCCGAAGUUGGUAGCCUAACCUUUUGGAGGGGGCCAACGAAGGUAGGACAGGUGACUGGAGUGAAGUCGUGACAAGGUAGCCGU
rnacentral:rRNA from 1 species